rnacentral:rRNA from 1 species
GACGAACGCUGGCGGCGUGCUUAACACAUGCAAGUCGAACGGAAAGGCCCUGCUUUUGUGGGGUGCUCGAGUGGCGAACGGGUGAGAAACACGUGAGUAAACUGCACUUGACUUUGGGAUAACUUCAGGAAACUGGGGAUAAAACCGGAUAGGAGAUCCUGCUGCACGGUGGGGGUUGGAAAGAUUCGGCGGUUGGGGAUGGACUCGCGGCUUAUCAGCUUGUUGGUGGGGUAGUGGCGUUCCAAGGCUUUGAAGGGUAGCCGGCCUGGGAGCGUGACCGGCCACAUUGGGACUGAGAUACGGCCCAGACUCCUACGGGAGGCAGCAGUGGGGAAUAUUGCACAAUGGGCGGAAGCCUGAUGCAGCAACGCCGCGUGCGGGAUGACGGCCUUCGGGUUGUAAACCGCUUUCGCCUGUGACGAAGCGUGAUUGACGGUAAUGGGUAAAGAAGCACCGGCUAACUACGUG